GAUGAACGCUGGCGGCGUGCCUAAUACAUGCAAGUCGAGCGAACGGACGAGGAGCUUGCUCCUCUGACGUUAGCGGCGGACGGGUGAGUAACACGUGGAUAACCUACCUAUAAGACUGGGAUAACUUCGGGAAACCGGAGCUAAUACCGGAUAACAUGUUGAACCGCAUGGUUCAACAGUGAAAGACGGUCUUGCUGUCACUUAUAGAUGGAUCCGCGCCGCAUUAGCUAGUUGGUAAGGUAACGGCUUACCAAGGCAACGAUGCGUAGCCGACCUGAGAGGGUGAUCGGCCACACUGGAACUGAGACACGGUCCAGACUCCUACGGGAGGCAGCAGUAGGGAAUCUUCCGCAAUGGGCGAAAGCCUGACGGAGCAACGCCGCGUGAGUGAUGAAGGUCUUCGGAUCGUAAAACUCUGUUAUUAGGGAAGAACAAAUGUGUAAGUAACUAUGCACGUCUUGACGGUACCUAAUCAGAAAGCCACGGCUAACUACGUG
rnacentral:rRNA from 1 species